rnacentral:rRNA from 1 species
GAUGAACGCUGGCGGCGUGCCUAAUACAUGCAAGUCGAGCGAACGGACGCGGAGCUUGAUUCUCUGAUGUUAGCGGCGCACGGGAGAGUAACGCGUGGAUACCCUACCUAUAAGACUGGGAUAACCUCGGAAAACCGGAGCUAAUACCGGAUGAUAUUUUGAACCGCAUGGUUCAAAAGUGAAAGACGGUCUUGCUGUCACUUAUCGAUGGAUCCGCGCUGCAUUAGCUGGUUGGUAAGGUCACGGCUUACCAAGGCAACGAUGCCUAGGCGAGCUGCGAUGGUGAGCGGCCACCCUGGAACUGAGACCCGGUCCAUACUCCUACGGGAGGCAGCCGGAUGGAAUCUUCCGCAAUGGGCGAAGGCCUGUCGGAGCAGCGCCGCGUGAGUGAUGAAGGUCUUCGGAUCGUAAGACUCUGUUAUUGGGGAAGAACAUAUGUUUAAGUGACUGGGCACAUCAUUGCGGUACCUGAUCAGAGAGCCACGGCUUACUACGUG